rnacentral:misc_RNA from 1 species
GAUGAAGAACGUAGCGAAAUGCGAUAAGUAGUGUGAAUUGCAGAAUUCCGUGAAUCAUCGAAUCUUUGAACGCACAUUGCGCCUUCUGGUAUUCCCGAAGGCAUGCCUGUUCGAGAGUCAUUAACAACCGUUUCGAUCCCUUUCUUUCAGAAAUUACAAAGAGGAAAAGGGUUUGGUUAUGGUGGAGGAGGGAAAGGGAGCGUUUAGCCUGUAAAAAAAGAGGCUGUGUUCCGCCUCCCCCCCAAAAUUGUACAGGCGGUCGUGUGCGCCCACGCAUCGAGGUGUUGUAAAAGCUGCCACGGCACUUUUCACCUGUGCAGUGCGAGAUUGGCCAGCCGGUUUAAAAACCCCUCCAAACAAUCAAAGGUUGACCUCGGAUCAGGUAGGGAUACCCGCUGAACUUAAGCAUAUCAAUAAGCGGAGGA